rnacentral:rRNA from 1 species
AGAGUUUGAUCAUGGCUCAGAAUGAACGCUGGCGGUAGGCUUAACACAUGCAAGUCGGACGGAAACGAUAGAGAAGCUUGCUUUUCUAGGCGUCGAGUGGCGGACGGGUGAGUAACGCGUGGGAAUCUACCCUAUAGUUGGGGACAACGUAUGGAAACGUACGCUAAUACCGAAUAUGCUCUACGGAGUAAAGGAGCCCUCUUCUUGAAAGGUUUCGCUAUAGGAUGAGCCCGCGUAAGAUUAGCUAGUUGGUAAGGUAAUGGCUUACCAAGGCAACGAUCUUUAGCUGGUUUGAGAGGAUGAUCAGCCACACUGGGACUGAGACACGGCCCAGACUCCUACGGGAGGCAGCAGUGGGGAAUAUUGCACAAUGAGCGAAAGCUUGAUGCAGCCAUACCGCGUGUGUGAAGAAGGCCCGAGGGUUGUAAAGCACUUUCAAUUGUGAGGAAGAUAGAGUAGUUAAUACCUGCUUUAUUUGACGUUAACUUUAGAAGAAGCACCGGCUAACUCUGUGCCAGCAGCCGCGGUAAUACAGAGGGUGCAAGCGUUAUUCGGAAUUACUGGGCGUAAAGCGCGCGUAGGCGGAUUAUUAAGUCAGUUGUGAAAGCCCUGGGCUCAACCUAGGAACUGCAUCUGAUACUGGUAAUCUAGAGUUUAGGAGAGGGAAGUGGAAUUCCAGGUGUAGCAGUGAAAUGCGUAGAUAUCUGGAGGAACAUCAGUGGCGAAGGCGACUUCCUGGCCUAAAACUGACGCUGAGGUGCGAAAGCGUGGGUAGCGAACGGGAUUAGAUACCCCGGUAGUCCACGCCGUAAACGAUGUCAACUAGUUGUUGGUCCUAUUAAAAGGAUUAGUAACGAAGCUAACGCGAUAAGUUGACCGCCUGGGGAGUACGGUCGCAGAUUAAAACUCAAGGAAUUGACGGGGGCCCGCACAAGCGGUG